UACAGAGGGUGCAAGCGUUAAUCGGAAUUACUGGGCGUAAAGCGCAUGUAGGUGGGAGAGUAAGUUUGAUGUAAAAUCCCCGGGCUUAACCUGGGAAGGUCGUUGAAUACUAUUUUUCUAGAGUGAGAUAGAGGGUCGUGGAAUUUCCGGUGUAGCGGUGAAAUGCGUAGAGAUCGGAAAGAACACCAGUGGCGAAGGCGGCGACCUGGAUCUCAACUGACACUGAGGUGCGAAAGCGUGGGGAGCAAACAGG
rnacentral:rRNA from 1 species